GAGAAGUACGUGCGAGGAGGCGGGGUCAGACGUAGGGUGCGAGGGGUAAUCGGAAGUGGUGGGCGUAAAGGGUGCGGAGGCGUCCGCGGAAGUCGAGUGUGAAGGCCGCGAGGUGAGCGUGGGAAUUGCGCUGGAAACUACGUGGCUGUAGUGUGGCAGAGGAAGGUGGAAUUCCACGUGUAGCGGUGAAAUGCGUAGAGAUGUGGAGGAACACCGAUGGCGAAGGCAGCCUUCUGGGCCAACACUGACGCUCAUGCACGAAAGCGUGGGGAGCAAACAGGAUUAGAUACCCCGGUAGUC
rnacentral:rRNA from 1 species